rnacentral:sRNA from 1 species
GUGCACCCCGUCCCAGUCGUCCUGUCCUGGCCGCUCGCUCUGCUUCGCUGCGCCGCCACUAUGCUCUCCGUCCGUGUCCCGCUCGCGCCCAUCACGGACCCGAAGCAGCUGCAGCUCUCGCCGCUGAAGGGGCUCAGCUUGGUCGACAAGGAGAACACGGUGAGCACGCGGGGAGGGCGCUGCGGGCAGAGGAGGGAGGCAGGGAAAGCGAAGCCGCUCUUCACUCACACGCGUCUCCCCGCAGCCGCCGGCCCUGAGCGGGACCCGCGUCCUGGCCAGCAAGACCGCGAGGAGGAUCUUCCAGGAGCCCGCGGAGCCGAAAACUAAAGCAGCUGCCCCCGACGUGGAGGAUGAGCCGCUGCUGAGAGAAAACCCCCGCCGCUUUGUCAUCUUCCCCAUCGAGUACCAUGAUAUCUGGCAGAUGUAUAAGAAGGCAGAGGCUUCCUUCUGGACCGCCGAGGAGGUGGACCUCUCCAAGGACAUUCAGCACUGGGAAUCCCUGAAGCCCGAGGAGAGAUAUUUUAUAUCCCAUGUUCUGGCUUUCUUUGCAGCAAGCGAUGGCAUAGUAAAUGAAAACUUG